UACGAAGGGGGCUAGCGUUGUUCGGAAUCACUGGGCGUAAAGCGUACGUAGGCGGAUCGUUUAGUCAGGGGUGAAAUCCCGAGGCUCAACCUCGGAACUGCCUUUGAUACUGGCGAUCUGGAGUCCGGGAGAGGUGAGUGGAACUCCUAGUGUAGAGGUGAAAUUCGUAGAUAUUAGGAAGAACACCAGUGGCGAAGGCGGCUCACUAGCCCGGUACUGACGCUGAUGUACGAAAGCGUGGGGAGCAAACAGG
rnacentral:rRNA from 1 species